UACGUAGGCAGCGAGCGUUGUUCGGAGUUACUGGGCGUAAAGGGCGCGUAGGCGGUGUGUCAAGUCAGGCGUGAAAGCCCCGGGCUCAACCUGGGAACAGCGCUUGAGACUGGCACGCUCGAGUUCGGGAGAGGAUGGUGGAAUUCCCAGUGUAGAGGUGAAAUUCGUAGAUAUUGGGAAGAACACCGAUGGCGAAGGCAGCCAUCUGGACCGACACUGACGCUGAGGCGCGAAAGCGUGGGGAGCAAACAGG
rnacentral:rRNA from 1 species